UGAGGAAUAUUGGUCAAUGGGCGAGAGCCUGAACCAGCCAAGUAGCGUGCAGGACGACGGCCCUAUGGGUUGUAAACUGCUUUUAUGUGUGGAUAAAGUGCGUGACGUGUCAUGCAUUGCAGGUACCACAUGAAUAAGGACCGGCUAAUUCCGUGCCAGCAGCCGCGGUAAUACGGAAGGUCCGGGCGUUAUCCGGAUUUAUUGGGUUUAAAGGGAGCGUAGGCUGUCUAUUAAGAGUGUUGUGCAAUAUACCGGCUCAACCGGUGGCUUGCAGCGCGAACUGGUCGACUUGAGUAUGCAGGAAGUAGGCGGAAUUCAUGGUGUAGCGGUGAAAUGCUAAGAUAUCAUGACGAACUCCGAUUGCGCAGGCAGCUUACUGUAGCAUAACAGACGCUGAUGCUCGAAAGUGCGGGUAUCAAACAGG
rnacentral:rRNA from 1 species